rnacentral:rRNA from 1 species
UACAGAGGCCCCAAGCGUUACUGAGAAUCACUGGGUUUAAAGGGUGCGUAGGUGGCGCGUUAAGUUCGUUGUGAAAUCCCUGGGCUCAACCCAGGAAUUGCUUCGAAUACUGGCGUGCUUGAGGCUAGUAGGGGUCACUGGAACUGACGGUGGAGCGGUGAAAUGCGUUGAUAUCUACAGGAACUCCGGUGGCGAAAGCGGCGUGCUGGAUCUCUUCUGACGCUGAGGCUCGAAAGCCAGGGGAGCAAACGGG